GAAGCUCCAGCCCAAGAUGGACAUACGCUAGAAUCUUCCCGUUAUUCUGCAUGGAUGUACAAGAUUCGUGAGGCAUGUAGGAUAUGCCACAGCUUGGGACAGAAGUUCCCAACUAAGUGAGUCUUGCUUGAGUGACAGAGACGACCAGAGAAGAGGAAAUGCCGCUGGGAACUGCUCAUCUAUCAGGUUAAACCUCUGACUGACUUCUCCAGGAGACUCACUAAUUGUCAACAUCCUCAACUUCUAGGUCACAAGAGGCACAAAUGACAGUAACAAAACCCCAGCCGUCCUAAACACCGUGAAGGACAGCGGGAAGCAGUUUCCAGCCUCAAAGAAUGAUCUGGGAAAACCUCUUCCCUUUCCUCCAAAUCUUUGCCUUACCUGGGCCUUAGUCAUGUCUAUUCCAGUGACAUGUCCCUUCUCGCCAACUAGCUGGCUAAGCAUAUAGCAGUCUCUGCCACUUCCACAACCCAGAUCCAAAAGCUGGCAGUUUUCCAGGCGCUCAGGGACAACCAGACCACAGCCAUAAUACCUGAGAAGGGGGAAAGACAUGUUUUAAAAACAGACUGGAAAAUUCUCAGGCAGUAAGUCUAUGCUUCCCCCUGCCCCCCGUCCCUCCAUCACCCGCUUACAUUACUAUUUUGUCUCUCCCACUAAACCAGGGCCAUGUCUGCCAUAGCAGUGUUGCUGGGCACUGCGCAAGGUAGCAGGCCUCAAGAAAACCGUCUAAAAUAUGUGUUGAAUAAAUACAUCUAAGGCACUGUCUGCUGAACAAGGAAGGCAUCCUGUCCCCAGGUGCAGGUACUGUAACUUGAGAGGUAAAAACUACAGGUAUGGAACCUUUCCCAUGAUUGACAGACAGUGAGUAUCACUGGGAGUAGGUGUGGCAGUGGUUGGGAGGAAGAAGGUUCCAUGAUGCUAGGAAGACUUCAGUGAGGUGUUGGAGAGGCAGGGGGUAAGGUACCCUCUUUUAUAACUGAUCUCCGGGUGGGCAAUACUAUGUAUGUUAGGCAAAGAUCAACUGUUUAGAAAGUGUGAGCUACUCUAUUAAACACUUGAAUGUCUGCCACGGUCCAAGGAGCUUGAAUGUCUCCUGCAAUGGGAAGGGAUGGAGAGCAUCUUUGAGGGGUCUUCAGCAGAGAAGCAAGCAGCUCAGUGCCGAGCUUUGGGGUUUCACAGUAGAUAUGGGAAGAAGGGUAGCCAACAGAUAGGGCUAAAUUCGCUAGUGACAAGUAUGGGAAAACUGCAGUCUGGAGGCUUCGUGGCAACAGUCUAUACACUCUACCUCGAAGUCACGUCUUCGUGUACAUUCUUCAGAGUUUCCCGGAUGUACUUGGGGACCAGCGUGGCUGGUGUGACACAAGCAUUAGUCUGGAGGUCUGCAAAAGUCUUCAGUACAUUCCCGUAGUAGUUCUGACGCAACAGCCAAGGACCGGAAGCCAGGAGGAAAAGAACAGAGCUCAGAGCUCGAGGCCUCCGCCACAUUCUUAAUUACAGCCCACUGGCCUUUGCUCAGGGCCAACUCCAACCCGCGCCCUGGUCUGCCCAAACCCAGCGUGCUCUGCAAACAGAAGCUGCUUGCUGGCAGUACUCCCGGAAACCAGCAAUCCCACACAGCCAAUCCCUAGGACCCUCACCUGAACGUCCUUGUGAAUCUCAGCGUCUCGGGGAGCGGACACUGAAAAGGGAGAACAGAGGCUAAACGGGGUGACCACACUGAAAGGGACCGGGCUGAGGGCAAGAUGGAGGGAUAGCAACACACAGGGCGGAGAGGAAGGGGGCUGAGGCCUUCAGCAAGGCACAGGCAAGCCGACUGGGCUGCCCAGAAGUGGGAGCAGGGCGGGAGGCGCUGUGGGCCUGUGGCAAGUCAGAGGUCAGAGGGGGACUGACCAGAAGCUACUCACUGACUCUCGAUCUCCACACUCCUGGACCUGGAAUAAUCCUUCGACCCGGCUAAGGAGCAGCAGCGCGCCGAGGCCACGCCCCCUGACUGACCUUCAACCCUGCAGCCCAGCAAAACCCUUCCCAAGGCUGGGUCUCCUUGUCACCUUGGAGUCCUUGCAACCCGUCUAAUGGUUUUGUUUGUUAACACCUUCCUUUACUGAUCCGCUGAAUUUCAUUCUGUGUGUCUUAAAUGAACGCCCAUAUGUAUUUUCCUCCCUGUGACAUGAACUCUUUCCUCUCUCCCGCUCAUAAAGUCGUUCACGGAGUGUCAUUUACAUCUCUAACACUCACCGUUUCUUAGCGCACAGCACUGCUGUGAAUUCUGCAGUCAUCAGGCAUGGUGCUGUGCCUUUAAUUCCAGCAUCCAGGAGACAGAGAUGGGAGGCAGACAGAGGCUGCCCGAUCUCUGAGGCCAGCCUGAUCUACAAACCUAGUUCUAAAAACAGCUAGGGCUACACAGGGAAACCCUGUCCCAACCCACCCCAACCCGCAACACACACAGAGAUUAAAGUAGUUCUCUAGUUCAGAAGGCUUGUGUGUGCCCCUUGGUGAGAAAUUCCUUCCUCAUCCAGCUCCUAGGCAAAAAGACUGGACUCUCUCCCUGCAGCUUUGCCUUUUCUGGGAUGUCUCAGAGAUGAACUCUUCACUGGGUAGCCACUGUCCAGUUGCAUCUAGAAAGGCAUCCAGUUGCAUCUAGAAAGGCGCCCACCACAGUAACUCGCCAGUUUGUAUGUAUUUUCCAUUACUGCCACUUCGCCUCGAAUGCUUUUGUUUAUAUUGCAUCCUAUGUAUCUACGGGGUGAGGUGCCCUGGUGAUGUUUGGUGAAGGGGACUUUUAGGAAAUUGGUUCUCCACUUCCACACUGUGGGCACCCGGAAGAGAACUAUGCCGGAGGGCCUGCCAGCAAGAGUUUUUCCCUGCUGAGCCACCACCAGCCAGGAUGCAUCUUUAAGAAGCGUCUGUUCCCACCGUUACAGCUGUGUGUCCUUUAAACUGGUGUGUGCAUGUGUGUGUGAGCACCACAGCCCAUGGAUGGAGACAGGCAGCUUUCACACGUUACUCCUCUCCUUCCACAGUGGGUUCCGAGCUCCAGCACCAGGCUUGUAUGGCAAGUGCUUUUAGCUUUUCCAGCUAUGCCAUCUCAACCACCCUGUAUUUGUUUGUAUGUCUUACCUGCUUUGUGAUUGAAUCAAACAUUGCCGUUCAUCAAGAUAAGGGGGUGGAAAGCCAGGCAGUGGUGGCACAUGCCUUUAAUCCCAGCACUCGGGAGGCAGAGGCAGGCGGAUCUCUGAGUUCGAGGUCAGCCUGGUCUACAAGAGCUAGUUCCAGGACAGGCACCAAAACUACAGAGAAACCCUGGCUUGAAAAAAUUACCAAAAAAAAAAAAAAAAGAUAAGGGGGUGUAGCAGUCUAAAGGAAAAGUUGUCUAGGUAGGAAAGUGGACUCUUGUGAAAUUAUCUUCCCGUUUUCAAACCCAUGCCAUUACAAAUAAAAUGAUGAAAUCCA